ensembl:ncRNA W05E10.17 ncRNA
CAUCUAUCUUGGAACGUGGGACAUCAUGAAACAAUACUCGUGUCACGAUGAGCACCUGAUAGGUGCGAAUGACACCUUAUUGAGACCAGUGUCCUUUUUAUUGUUCAACAUGAUUCUAGAAUAGGCGUGAUAAAAAGGAGAGGUCAA